UUACAUUUAAGUUCAAUGAAGUAAAUAAAUAAACAUUUAAGGUGCAAAACCCUUUGUAGUUGUAGGAAAUAUGCAGGAAAAUGAAAGCCAUUACAUUUAAGUUCAAUGAAGUAAAUAAAUAAACAUUUAAGGUGCAAAACUACAAAGAAGAAGACAUGAACUUCAUAGAUAUUAUAGAUUGCAUUACAUAA